CCCUUAGAUGUUCUGGGCCGCACGCGCGCUACACUGAUGCAUUCAACGAGUCUGAAACCUGCUCUGAUAGGGGUGGGUAAUCUUUUGAAUGUGCAUCGUGAUUGGGAUAGAUGAUUGCAAUUUUUCAUCUUCAACGAGGAAUGCCUAGUAAACGCAAGUCAUCAGCUUGCAUUGAUUACGUCCCUGCCCUUUGUACACACCGCCCGUCGCUCCUACCGAUUGAAUGAUCCGAUGAAUAUCAUGGAUUGAGGAUGUAAGCAGGUUCGCCUGUCUUCAUCUUCGAGAAGUGAAGUAAAUCUUAUCAUUUAGAGGAAGGAGAAGUCGUAACA
rnacentral:rRNA from 1 species